rnacentral:rRNA from 1 species
AACGCUGGCGGCGUGCUUAACACAUGCAAGUCGAACGGAAAGGCCUCUGCUUGCAAGGGGUACUCGAGUGGCGAACGGGUGAGUAACACGUGGGUGAUCUGCCUUGCACUCUGGGAUAAGCUUGGGAAACUGGGUCUAAUACCGGAUAUGAACUGCCUUUAGUGUGGUGGUUGGAAAGUUUUUUCGGUGCAAGAUGAGCUCGCGGCCUAUCAGCUUGUUGGUGGGGUAAUGGCCUACCAAGGCGUCGACGGGUAGCCGGCCUGAGAGGGUGUACGGCCACAUUGGGACUGAGAUACGGCCCAGACUCCU